rnacentral:rRNA from 1 species
CGGGGUGAGUAACGCGUGGGAAUAUGCCCUUUGGUACGGAACAACUGAGGGAAACUUCAGCUAAUACCUAUGUGCCCUUCGGGGGAAAGAUUUAUCGCCAUUGGAGUAGCCCGCGUUGGAUUAGGUAGUUGGUGAGGAAAGGCUCACCAAGCCUACGAUCCAUAGCUGGUCUGAGAGGAUGAUCAGCCACAUUGGGACUGAGACACGGCCCAG